GUCUGACGGAGCACGCCGCGUGAGUGAUGAAGGUUUUCGGAUCGUAAAGCUCUGUUGUUAGGGAAGAACAAGUGCCGUUCAAAUAGGGCGGCACCUUGACGGUACCUAACCAGAAAGCCACGGCUAACUACGUGCCAGCAGCCGCGGUAAUACGUAGGUGGCAAGCGUUGUCCGGAAUUAUUGGGCGUAAAGGGCUCGCAGGCGGUUUCUUAAGUCUGAUGUGAAAGCCCCCGGCUCAACCGGGGAGGGUCAUUGGAAACUGGGGAACUUGAGUGCAGAAGAGGAGAGUGGAAUUCCACGUGUAGCGGUGAAAUGCGUAGAGAUGUGGAGGAACACCAGUGGCGAAGGCGACUCUCUGGUCUGUAACUGACGCUGAGGAGCGAAAGCGUGGGGAGCGAACAGGAUUAGAUACCCUGGUAGUCCACGCCGUAAACGAUGAGUGCUAAGUGUUAGGGGGUUUCCGCCCCUUAGUGCUGCAGCUAACGCAUUAAGCACUCCGCCUGGGGAGUACGGUCGCAAGACUGAAACUCAAAGGAAUUGACGGGGGCCCGCACAAGCGGUGGAGCAUGUGGUUUAAUUCGAAGCAACGCGAAGAACCUUACCAGGUCUUGACAUCCUCUGACAAUCCUAGAGAUAGGACGUCCCCUUCGGGGGCAGAGUGACAGGUGGUGCAUGGUUGUCGUCAGCUCGUGUCGUGAGAUGUUGGGUUAAGUCCCGCAACGAGCGCAACCCUUGAUCUUAGUUGCCAGCAUUCAGUUGGGCACUCUAAGGUGACUGCCGGUGACAAACCGGAGGAAGGUGGGGAUGACGUCAAAUCAUCAUGCCCCUUAUGACCUGGGCUACACACGUGCUACA
rnacentral:rRNA from 2 species